UUUCCCUCAGGAUAGCUGGCACUCGCUCGAGCGAGUCUCAUCUGGUAAAGCGAAUGAUUAGAGGCCUUGGGGCCGAAACGACCUCAAGCUAUUCUCAAACUUUAAAUGGGUGAGAUCUCUGGCUUGCUUGAACAUGAAGCCACGAGAUUUCGGAUCAGAGUGCCAAGUGGGCCAAUUUUGGUAAGCAGAACUGGCGCUGUGGGA
rnacentral:rRNA from 1 species